AUCCACAGCCAUAUCACACUGCAGCUCAAGACCGGUUACUCACUGAAGCUAAGCAGGCCUGAUCCUGGCCAGUACCUGGAUGGGAGACCAAAUGGGAAAACCUGGUUGCUCUUGGAA
rfam:Danio rerio chromosome 7, GRCz11 reference primary assembly.